GAUGAACGCUGGCGGCGUGCCUAAUACAUGCAAGUCGAGCGAACGGACGAGAAGCUUGCUUCUCUGACGUUAGCGGCGGACGGGUGAGUAACACGUGGAUAACCUACCUAUAAGACUGGGAUAACUUCGGGAAACCGUAGCUAAUACCGGAUAAUAUUUUGAACCGCAUGGUUCAAUAGUGAAAGACGGUCUUGCUGUCACUUAUAGAUGGAUCCGCGCUGCAUUAGCUAGUUGGUAAGGUAACGGCUUACCAAGGCAACGAUGCAUAGCCGACCUGAGAGGGUGAUCGGCCACACUGGAACUGAGACACGGUCCAGACUCCUACGGGAGGCAGCAGUAGGGAAUCUUCCGCAAUGGGCGAAAGCCUGACGGAGCAACGCCGCGUGAGUGAUGAAGGUCUUCGGAUCGUAAAACUCUGUUAUUAGGGAAGAACAAAUGUGUAAGUAACUGUGCACAUCUUGACGGUACCUAAUCAGAAAGCCACGGCUAACUACGUG
rnacentral:rRNA from 1 species